GUGGAUUCAAUAAUCCAAGAAGAAUGGGACUGGAGCUGAUUUCCUCAUGAGCUAGACAGGGUCUCACCAUUUUCCCAGGUCGAUCUCAAACUCCUAGACUGAAGCCCUGCACUUACCUCCUAACACACUCUAUACUAGAAGCAUGGAUGGCCCAUCUUUCCUUGGAAAAGACACCUUUAGGACUCCAAGUGUAAGAAGGCAUUUUGC